GACAGAGGUGCCAAGCGUUAGGCGGAAUCACUGGGCUUAAAGCGUGUGUAGGCGGACUGGUAAGUACCUUGUGAAAUCCCACGGCUUAACCGUGGAACUGCUCGGUAUACUGCCGGUCUUGAGCCACCUAGGGGCGAGCGGAACAAAUGGUGGAGCGGUGAAAUGCGUAGAUAUCAUUUGGAACGCCAAUGGUGAAAACAGCUCGCCGGGGGUGUGCUGACGCUGAGACACGAAAGCCAGGGGAGCGAACGGG
rnacentral:rRNA from 1 species